rnacentral:rRNA from 1 species
AACAGGAUUCCCCUAGUAACUGCGAGUGAAGCGGGAAAAGCUCAAAUUUAAAAUCUGGUGGUCUUUGGCCAUCCGAGUUGUAAUCUAGAGAAGUGUUAUCCGCGCUGGACCGUGUACAAGUCCCCUGGAAUGGGGCGUCAUAGAGGGUGAGAAUCCCGUCUUUGACACGGACUACCAGGGCUUUGUGAUGCACUCUCAAAGAGUCGAGUUGUUUGGGAAUGCAGCUCAAAAUGGGUGGUAAAUUCCAUCUAAAGCUAAAUAUUGGCGAGAGACCGAUAGCGAACAAGUACCGUGAGGGAAAGAUGAAAAGAACUUUGGAAAGAGAGUUAAACAGUACGUGAAAUUGUUGAAAGGGAAACGCUUGAAGUCAGUCGCGUCUGCCAGGGAUCAACCUUACUUUUGUGAGGCGUACUUCCUGGUUGAUGGGUCAGCAUCAGUUUUGGUUGCUGGAUAAAGGUCAGAGAAAUGUGGCACCUUCGGGUGUGUUAUAGUCUUUGAUCAGAUACAGUGGCUGGGACUGAGGAACUCAGCGCCGCAAGGCUGUCUUAGGAUGCUGGCAAAAUGGCUUUAAUCGACCCGUCUUGAAACACGGACCAAGGAGUCUAACAUGCCUGCGAGUGUUUGGGUGGAAAACCCGAGCGCGUAAUGAAAGUGAAAGUUGGGAUCCUUGUCAUGGGGAGCACCGACGCCCAUACCAGAAGUUUACGGACGGAUAUGCGGUGGAGCAUGUAUGUUGGGACCCGAAAGAUGGUGAACUAUGCCUGAAUAGGGCGAAGCCAGAGGAAACUCUGGUGGAGACUCGUAGCGAUUCUGACGUGCAAAUCGAUCGUCGAAUUUGGGUAUAGGGGCGAAAGACUAAUCGAACC